AAUGAAGCUCAGAGUAACUGCAGUAAUAAGUAAUGCUGAAGAGCAGUUGUGAGCCGUACACACGGUGAGAAACUCAUCUCCUUUUGCUUUUUAUUUAUUUAUCUAUUAUUCAGCUCCGGAAGGUCACUUAGGAGCAGAGUGUUUUUUGAAACCCUAUAUUUUGCCAGUGACUGAUACCAUGAAAUGGUAGGGAGAUGCUAUAGUGUCUGACUGGCAUUUAAAUGCACAAUGCAGAUACUCUGCUAUUAUUUACUCACCUUCAUGUUGGAACUAAACCCGUAUGCUGUUAUUCUUCUUAUGCAAUGUGAAUGGAGAAUCAUCACACUGCCCUUUUCCUCAUAAAAGGUUGUGAAGUCCCAAAAACAAAAUUGAUAAUCUUGCCCUCUGCAGAAGCUCUGAAUUAAUAUUUGCAUUCACACUCCGUUUCAGAAAUGCCUCAUUGAUGAGUUUGAUGUCACACAAUAAUGGAAAUUUGCUGAAAAUGUAACUCACCCUCAGACUAGAUAGGUUUUUUUCAGUUUGAUAGUCACACAAUAAUGGAAAUUUGCUGAAAAUGUACUCACCCUCAGACUAGUAUAGGUUUUUUUUCAUAGGAACAGAUUUGGAGAAAUGUAGCAUUACAUCACUUACUCACCAGUGGAUGCUCUGCAGUGAAUGGGUGCCGUCAGAACGAGAAAGACAUCACAAUAAACCACACCACUCCAGUCCAGUCCAUCAAUUAACAUCUUGUGAAGUGAAAAAACUGCAUGUUUAUAACAAAAUAAUAAUGCUUCCUUAUUUUGACGGCACCCAUUCACUGCAGAGUAUCCACUGGUGAGCAAGUGAUGUAAUGCUGCAUUUCUCCAAAUCUGUUCUGAUGAAGAAACAAACUCAUCUUCAUCUUCGAUUGCCUGAGGGAGAGUAUAUUUUCAGCUAAUUUUCAUUUUUGGGUGAAUUAUUAAUUAACGUUUAUACUGAAGUAUAUAGUUGCUAGUAUGCAAAUUGGGAUUCAUACUAGUUUUGCAAAACUAAUUAAAAGCAUGGUAGCUUAAUGGAAUGUAAAUGAUUAUGAAAAUCAGCAUUUAAAGUCAGAUGCAACAGGAAGUAAGAAAGUGCAAAUAAAUGUUCAGGUUUCAUGGUUGUUUGCUUAUGUAGAAACAACUACUAAGAAAUCUGUUUGUAGCUGAAACAGCUUCUGACAUUAGGAAACAUUUUUAACAGUAAUCAAGUUAAAAAUGACAAUCGAUGCAAAUAAAAGACUUUUCUUAAAGUGACAGUAUACCCAAAAAUGAGAACUCUGAGUUGCUUUUUUCCACACAGAGAAACUGAAAAAUUAAUUUACACUGCUGAACUCCAAAACGUACCAUUAACGUAUAAUAAAAUUGGUUUAUAGUACUCGAGCACUUGCAUGAGGACCAAACCAAAUCUCAAGCCGUUAUUCAUUUUUGGGUGAAUUAUUUCUUUAGCUUGUAAACUCGUGUCUGAUGGAUUAAAACAAGCCUUUAACCUUCAUCAAAAGCAUGUCAAACUUGGUAAGUGCUAAACGAAUGAGCGAUGUUCAUUCAAUCACCUGAGGCCUUUCCUUCAUUAGUCUGUCUGGAGAUGUGAGGGGAGGACAGGAGAACAGCAGCAGGAAACAUGUGUG
rnacentral:lncRNA from 1 species